rnacentral:lncRNA from 1 species
AAAGAAACAAACUUUUUUCAUGCUACAGUUUGCCACCCCACCACCACAAUGGUGGCAUUUUGGACAGUGCAAAAAGAGAUGGGAGGCUGAACCGGGAGGAGGGUUGGGUGGGCUUCCUUUUCCAUUACUUCUAAUGUACACCAAAAGUUAAAACUAUAAUAGUUCCUUGGUUACAGAAGUUGGAUUGCACAUAAUCUUUCCUAAAGUACCACAUUUUAGGUCUUCUAAUGGCAGCCAUAUUUUCUGUAGCACAACCAAAACGUCAAAAGUGAGUCAACUUCUAGUCCGAUCUAAUAUGAAAUGAAAUGGCAAGGGGUGAGCUACAAGGCUUAGCAAACAACUAUUUAUGGUCAGAGGUGAGAGCGAGGAUCACAACUGUACAAUAUUUGAAAUGAAGUGUAGAAGAACAAUUACCAUUAAUAGUCAUGUAACAACAACACAAUAGCUUUUAUAAUCCUCACCAGAGUUUCUAAUGAUGCUUUACUGCCAUGGUGGUUGCAAAUUAACCACAAUUUUGACUGUUAUUCGAUAUUCAAUUCUAAAUUCCUUUAACAAUGAAAUGAAGGGAAAUACAUCUGAAUUCUUCGAUACAAUAAGAAGCAAUCCAAGUGCGUUCUUAGUAAGCUUAGAGCUACUUUCCUUGUGUUUUUCUUUCUCAAAAUAAGCUUAAAAGUUAUGGUUUCUCCAUGUUAUAUAGUUUGCUGAGAGAAGCAUGACUUGGAGGUUGCACGACUCAUCUUGUUCUUAUUCAGACACUGAGGUGGCACGCGAAUAAUAAAACAUCAAAUCCAAAUUGAUUUAUGAAGGUUGAGAUAAGCAAUUCACUCCAGCAUGAGGUGUUAAUUUAGUCUACAAAAGCAUGAUGUGUCGACUUAUCAAGUGCUAAUCUACUCAAGCAGGAGGUGUCAAGUUGGAGAGAGACUUUAAUACAACAAGUAUAACACCUUUUGUUAUCCUUAAUUAAUAGCGCAAUAGCACGCGGGAUAACUUUUUGAAAUGUAAUUGCAUUAUUGCUAUCCCCGCUACAAGAGAUUUUUUCUGCUCAAGUUGCUGUAACUAAAGUCUAAUAUUGCAAUUUGAUCGUUAAAUACUUUUUCAAAUUGCAUAAGAGCCCUAAACAUAUUGUAAACAUCUCCCCAAAUUUUGACUAAUUAUAGAACUCGUACACUCCAGAAGUUUAAUGUCCUUAAAUGUGAGCUGAGAAACAACUAAGCCACAAUAUUUAUUUAAUGAAGUACUUGGGUGUUACAUGCAUACUUAAUCAUUGACUACCAAAAUUAUAAUUCAGUCUUCUUCUUAUCAUUAGUGCAGGACUACAUGGGGUAAAAACAGAAAUUAAAAUUUUGAAAUUUUAUAUUAAUUAUAAAAACACGGGUUUUUAACUGUAGACAUAUCUGAAUUGUAAAUUCUUUUUUAUUUAAUAUAUUCAUUCUUUUUUAGAGUUAAAUCUGGAAAGGAUUUUCUUUGCAAAUAUUUUUUUGGACAAACAAUGCAAAAAUAAAUAAAUAGAAUAAAAUAAAAAACAAAAAGUAUAGUACCUCCUGCAACAGUAAUCCCCAUCAUCAAAGUAAAUUAUG